AAAUAACAAGAAAUUAUUAUAAGUGUACCUUUUGUCUCAGGGGAAAUCAAAAGUAAAAGUAAUAAAAAAUCGAUUUAAGCGGAGCCUUGUGUUAUAUUAUUGUGGUUGAAUUCAUAGUUUAAAAAAGAUAUGUGGUGAAAAAUGUACGGUGCUUAUUAUAGCUAUUUGUUUUAUUGUUGAAGGGUAAGCUUUCGGUGGCUUAACUAUAAAAAAAAAGUAAAAAAUUAGGCUUUGUAUUAGCCAAAUUGUUAAAUUGUUUUAAAUAAUUUAGUCGUGUAAAACAAAUUUUAAGGUUAAAAGACUUGACUUGUUAGCAUAAACAAGCUUAAAUAAUGAUUUUAUUGAAUAUAGACCGGAACGUUUAAAUAACUUAUGUAAAGCUAGAAUGUUUAGCAAAAACAUUUUCUUUUGUGUUAAAAAAGAUAAGACCUGCCCGGUGAUUUUUAACGGCUGCGGUAUUUUGACUGUGCUAAGGUAGCAUAAUCAUUUGCUACUUAAUUGGUAGCUGGAAUGAAAGGUUAAACUAGCUUACUCAGUUUGUUGUGUUUUGUAAGAAAUUAAAGUCGAGGUAAGAAUUCUUUGAUCUGCUAGGGGACGAUAAGACCCUAGAAGCUUAACAAUAAGAGUAUUUAUUAGUUAUAAAAAUUAAUUUGUUUUACUGGGGCGGUAGAGGUAUAUGAACUAUUAGCGUAUUGAUAGAUCCUUAAAAUAAAGAUAAAACGGGAAAGUUACUCUAGGGGUAACAGUGCAAUAUUUUUGGAGAGAUCAUAUCGAUAAAAAUGUUUGCAACCUCGAUGUUGAAUUAAGAUGUCUACGUGAAGCAGCAGGUACGUGAGAGGGUUUGUUCAAC
rnacentral:rRNA from 1 species